rnacentral:lncRNA from 1 species
AAAAUCUUUCUCUUAAAAGAGAUGGUACUCAAAUUACUCAAAACUCUUUUGGAAAUCUCAGUUUCCUCUCAUCUUAAAUGUGAAAACAUUUACUCUUGGGAAUACUUAGUUCCCAUAUAUCAUUUUAAAGAAAAUGAACUCAACUCUGCUCUUUCUCAAAAACAUUUCAAAAUCAUUUCAAAAUCAUAUUAUAAUAUGAUCAUUGAUGACUCGG